rnacentral:tRNA from 1 species
GGGCGGAUGGCGAAACUGGCAGACGCGCAUGGUUUAGGACCAUGUGGAGAAAUCCUUGGAGGUUCAAGUCCUCUUCCGCCCACCA